rnacentral:rRNA from 1 species
UACAGAGGGUGCGAGCGUUAAUCGGAAUGACUGGGCGUAAAGGGCGCGUAGGCGGUUUAUUAAGUUGAGUGUGAAAGGCCUGGGCUUAACCUGGGAAUUGCGCUCAAAACUGAUGAGCUUGAGUGAGAAAGAGGUAAGUGGAAUUUCCGGAGUAGCGGUGAAAUGCGUAGAUACCGGAAGGAAAACCAGUGGCGAAGGCGACUUACUGGUUCUCAACUGACGCUGAGGCGCGAAAGCGUGGGGAGCAAACAGG